ACUUAAGAAGAUGACAUUUGGAAUACGGCAGAGUGGCAGACGACAGAACAGUUACAAAGAGAGAGAGAGAGGGAGUGCGGCAUCGGAGAGAGAGGGAGAGAGCACGGCGUCGGAGAGAGAGAGAAAGCGACCAACGUUUGUGACGGUACAGGAGUAGAGGGCGACGGGGAUGUUAGCUUGGAGGCUGCCAUGGCUCUGAUAGUGACGACGGUUAAACGGCUAGGGUUCCGAUCAAGUUCCGGCAUCUUUUCGGUAACCUCCGGCGAGGUUCAAGCGAAGAUUCCAGGGAAGAACUUGAAGAUGCAUGUCUCCUUUUCGAGUAGAUCAACAAACCCCGAGAUGGAAGACAGAGACGGAUUUGGCUCUCCGGCUUCAACACUGUGAAUGCGCUGAACAUGGCUCUCCAUCAAAGACAGGAUAAGCCGCACAUGGUGGCGGGGUUAUGGCGGCGCACCGGCGUCGACGGCGAUGAAGAGGCAUCCACCGGCCGGAGCCAAUCCGGUGUUAUCAACAGGUUAUAUAUUCUUGAUAUCUAUUUCACACUUCGAGGGUUUUUCGAGAACCCUAAGAACUGUGGCGGCGCCGGUCAAGGUGUCGAUAUUGCGCUGAUCGUGCAGCUGAUUAAUCACAGGUUUAAUCAUUCAUUUUUCAUUUUACCAUCAUGUUGUUUGAAGUUAUGAGUUGGAGUUAUUUUGUCAAUUUUUGGUUGAUAUGAAGAUUUUCAUGUAAAAUGGCGCCUAGAUAAUCAGAUUAUUAGAAUUUGUAGAAAUGAUGGUGGUCCUGCUUCAAGUUUUGGAGUCUCAAAAUGGAUAUGACGGUUCUAUGAUAUACAAGGCAUCACAUACAAAAAAAGCCCUAGAUCCCUAAACCCAUCUCUUGAAAUUUAUACACACUAAAUUGAAAGAUUAAUUUUUAGUGAACUUAUGCUUCUUUUUGAAUAUAAUCUUUCAUCUCACAAUACAUCAUAAAUUUAGGAGGACACUAACCGUGUAACUAGAUAAUUGAAGAGAACAAAAGCGGAGGGUUGUGAUCAAGAGAGAGUGAAGAUGGUACAUAUCUCAAACUACUAUAGGACAGAGAUGCUGAUGAUGUGAAAGUUGCUAAUUUGGAGGCCCACCUAAGGAGAGACACAAACUUUUCUAGCAAGCGGUUAGCUGAUGAAAGAGGGACUGAUGAGAGGAAUGGAUCAAAAGAAACUUCCAGGUAGCGUUGAUUGAAGAACAGUGACAAUCCAAGGACUCGCGAGACUGAAAUCUUGUACAGUUUGCAGAUUUCCCUUUCACUAUCUAUUAUACAGAUAUGAGUAUUUUUUCAAGCAACUACGUUCAUCAAGAUUGGCCACCAGUUGUUGCACAUCUUAUAGAGAUAGACUUUAGGCCACCACUCAACAACUGGAAUAGAGCACUACCACCCAUCAUCAACCGGCCAGCAAACAACUAGAAUGGCUCACCACCACCGCAAAACACUGGAGCAAUACCACCAAGCAUUGUUGGAGGGCCUAACUACCAGCAGCAGGGGGCAGUGUGGACAAACAAUGGAGGCAAUAAUCUUAAAUGGAUCUGAUUUGAUACUUAUUUGUCCUAAACGUUAUUCCAUCCAAUUCAAUACAGAUUGUGUAUGUACAUAGUAUAAAGUCCAAUUCACACAUA